GUCUUUUUGAGUAUAAUUUAAAGUCUAGCCUGCCCAAUGAUUAAUUUAAUGGCCGCGGUAUUUUGACCGUGCUAAGGUAGCAUAAUCAAUAGUUUUUUAAUUGAAAGCUGGAAUGAAGGGUUGGAUAAAAAAAUAACUGUCUUUAUUUAAUUUAAUUAGAAUUUUAUUUUUAAGUUAAAAAGCUUAAAUUUUAUUAAAAGACGAGAAGACCCUAUAGAGUUUUAUAAUUAUUUUUAUUAAUAUUUUAAGAAUUUAUUUUAUUAAUAAAAAUAAUUAUUUAAUUGGGGUGAUUGAAAAAUUUAAUUAACUUUUUUUAUAUUAAUACAUUUAUAAGUGAAAAAUUGAUCCAUAUUUGAUGAUUACAAGAUUAAAUUACCUUAGGGAUAACAGCGUUAUUUUUUUUGAGAGUUCAAAUCGAAAAAAAAGAUUGCGA
rnacentral:rRNA from 1 species